rnacentral:rRNA from 1 species
UAAUACGUAGGUGGCGAGCGUUAUCCGGAUUUACUGGGUGUAAAGGGCGUGCAGGCGGGUCCGCAAGUCGGGUGUGAAAUAUCCGGGCUUAACCCGGAAAGGUCAUUCGAAACUGCGGAUCUUGAGUACUGGAGAGGACAGUGGAAUUCCUGGUGUAGCGGUAAAAUGCGUAGAUAUCAGGAGGAACACCAGUGGCGAAGGCGGCUGUCUGGACAGUAACUGACGCUGAGGCGCGAAAGCGUGGGGAGCAAACAGG